rnacentral:pre_miRNA from 1 species
CGGGAUUAAAUUGACUCUAGUAGGGAGUCCUUUAUACGAGCGACUCCCUAACGGAGUCAGAUUGAUUCCGGU